UAGGGAAUCUUGGACAAUGGGGGAAACCCUGAUCCAGCCAUGCCGCGUGAGUGAUGAAGGCCUUCGGGUUGUAAAACUCUUUCGGCGGGGACGAUAAUGACGGUACCCGCAGAAGAAGCUCCGGCUAACUUCGUGCCAGCAGCCGCGGUAAUACGAAGGGGGCUAGCGUUGUUCGGAAUUACUGGGCGUAAAGCGCGCGCAGGCGGCCUUGCAAGUCAGAGGUGAAAGCCCGGAGCUCAACUCCGGAAUUGCCCCUGAGACUGCUGGGCUUGAGUACGGGAGAGGUGAGUGGAAUUCCGAGUGUAGAGGUGAAAUUCGUAGAUAUUCGGAAGAACACCAGUGGCGAAGGCGGCUCACUGGCCCGUUACUGACGCUCAGGCGCGACAGCGUGGGGAGCAAACAGGAUUAGAUACCCCUGUAGUCC
rnacentral:rRNA from 1 species